UUGAUUGACACAACCAUAUACAUUAUCAGCCAUGAUACCACCAACAUAGCAAACUAGAAAUUAAAUUAAAGACGGAAAAUAUGAAGGAAUGUUGUCUGGGAGGGGAACAUGGUCUUCCACAUUGAGAUAAAGACCGUGUGAGAGCAUUGCAACUAGCCAGCCAAUCAGCCGCUGCUAGCUGCAUAACAAAUCAAACGUCAGGUAGAACCUAAACACUGUAAAUCCUGAAAAUAAAUAGUGUUAAAUUUUCAAUAAACUUAACAUCGAAAAUGGCACGACUUAAGUUAAACAGUUUACAAUGGGAGCAACCUGAAGUUUACAUAAACUGUUAGUGUUAUAUCCACGCUGGUAUACAUUGAGCUUCCACUAUCUCUCUAUUUCUGUGCGCGCCCCUAGAGAGAGGGAUAGGGGACAAUCGCAAAAGUAUAUAUUUAUAAACGGAACGCUUGUGUUUAAAAUUUGAGAGAGGGUUUGGAAGAAGGGAGAGUUAGGAGCUUUAUUUACGCAAAGAUCGGGCCAGUGAGAUCUUAAAAUGAAUAUAGUCAUAACAAACAAUUGAUAAAAAGGCGAGAGAGCUAGACUGAGAAUUUAUUCAGAGCAGAGAUAAUCACCAGAGUAGGUAGGACCUUCGUGAUGGAGUAUAUAACAUUCUUUUUGGUCUCCAAUUUUUGCCAAACUAAACCAAGAUCUUCUCAUCAUUCUCCUCUGGUCAGCGAUUCGGAUAUAAUCAGGAGCAGUUCCUUGUGACAUUGUGGAAUUUUACAUUUUGGAAUAUAUACUCCGACUGGUGGAAUAAUCAUUUUAAUUGUAUUUGGAAGGAGUCAAAUCGCCUCCCUACAGGGCAUGAGGGGAGUGGUACACGGGGAGAUGGGGGACAGCCCGCCGGCAGGUAUGGCUUGUUCAGCCGUGGCGGACCGUAAGAACUUCAUGCUAUCUGGAGUCGCCCAGCAGCAUACACACCAACAGCCCCACGCCAUACAUCAAGCCUCCUAUUGAUUUAGUGUAUACGUGGUGGAAAAUAUCAUGGGAUGCCCGCGACUGAGACGCCAGCCGCUCGCUCGCUGAAAACCGAGGAUUUACCGGGAGCGUGCUACUCGACGAUGCCUGAGCUUCUCCGCGAGUGCAAGAUGGGACUGUCGCUCAAAAUAGCUGUUGUUUUUUCUUUUCCCAUUUUUUUUGUGCACAAAGGACAUCAUAAAAAAAACGGUCGAUAGGAAAAGAAAGAUUCUAAAUACUUUUCAUCGUCGAUGAUGGCUAUUUCAAUCGCUCCUUUUUGUUAAUUUUGAAGCCUCCAAACCUGAAACAAAAUAGUUAUGAUACUUUCAAUCGCAUUAUGAUCCUGAUAAUUGAGAUAACCGUGAUUUACUAAUUUUGUUCGUUUGAGAACUUUGAAAGACAGGUUAUUAUUGCCGGACUAGUUAGUACCAUCGGUUUUCAAUUUGUUUAUGAAUGAAAAUGUGCAUACGAGGACGACAAAAUGCCGUACCUGCGAAAUAGACGAACAAUACAUGAAUAUUGCAAACAUUCAUGGCGUGGACAGCGUUUGUUGAAAAUACUCUCGCGUUUCUUCACUUUCUCAAAUUAUAUGCAUCUUGCCAAAGUAAGUACUUGUAUGAAAUGUUGAUAGUUUCUUUAAUGCAUUUAAAAUAUCUAGAUAUCAAGUGAAUAUUUAGAAACUGUAUCUCGUAUGUAAACAAGUCCCGUUUUACCAAUUAAAAAUAAAGCUACCUCCAGAAGAAAAACAUAAUUAUUUCCGCCGCAGAAAUAAAAUUGUAUCAACUUAAAGCAUGAUUAGGGUAGUGCUACUUAUUAUGUCUGAUUUAGAUCAUGGUAUACUUUCUCUUUAAUAUAUCUGUUGCGAACGAACUUUAUUUCGUUGAUGAGAAAUUACUGACUAAUUUGAACAUUUUUCUCUAUCAAACCAAAGCAAAAGUGAUGCCUAUUAUUUUGAAGUGCGUUGAUAUUUGAGUAAUACUUUAUGAGGCGAUACCGAAAAUGGCUGAAGAAUUUACUGCUUUCAUAGCGGACAUGUAAUGUAAUAAUUGAUGAUGUUUUUAUGAUACUAAAGAAUUAUAUCAUGGUGCAAGAGACAAAGAAGAUGUAUUUAAACCACUUUUACCUGUAAAUAUUUCAUGACCUCUAUCUGUGCAUUGAUGUGUUUUGUUUGUUCUCUGUUUGUAAUCUUGGUUGAACUUGAAGCUUUAAUUGCGUUCGGUUGAUUUCAGAAAUGAUAAUUGUUUUCUAUAUCAUUCCGUUAGAGUUGCUGUAAAUUUGAUCUUGUACAUCUGUUCACGAUCGUUGUUCCUUUUCAUGUUUAUUUAUUUCGACCUACAUGUACUACUGAUAUACAAAACAAAAAAUUUAAGCGUCCUUAAAGUAAUAUUUAGGUCGACAGGUUUUUUAAAACACGGGAUUCUUUGAGAAUUCUUUUGAGUCAUGAUUUAAGAAGAAUUUGUUUGACAAAUUAAGAUCGAUAUAUCUUGUCCCAAUACAGCAGAGAAAUCUUGACGAGGAAGAUAUAGGACUUGUGUGAAAAUUCAACUUAAAUUAUAGAAGUAUCUUAUACAACUUAAACAUGCUUUUUUUCUCUCUCUUUCUUCAAUUAGAAUGCAGUUUGAAGUACAUCCUUUUAAAGUAAUGUUCCGCAAAUCGUAAACUAAUUUUCUAUUUUAGUACUUCUCUUUUUGCCGUGGAAUAAACAGUACAAUCUUAUCAGAAGUUGAUGCCACUUUGAAACUAUUCAGUACUCUUUUUUUAAACAUAAAGUACAUUAAAAAAAAUUGACUUCAUGCUAGAAUAAAUGACGAAAUGAAGAAGAAUACGUAACCCGAUAAACAGAAAUAUUCAUUGAAAUGUAGUCCCAAUAAUUUUUUUUUUAAUAGGAAAUUAGUUUGAAGACGAAAAAAAAAUCGAUAUUAUCGAAUAGUCUAUAACAUUGCCUAUAUCAUGUUGUUUUGUCCUAUCGUGCAAAUAUUUCAAAAUCGUUUUUUGUUUGUUUUUGGUAUCGACUCUGAAAAGGAAAUCUCCUUGUAUUUUCCAAAUUGAUUAAAGCCUAUUUUCUAGUGAUUUGCUGACAAUGAAUAUAUAGGUUGAUAUGACAAAUUGUGAAGUUUAUUCAAACAGUGUUGAGAGAAUUCAUAUUGCACCAGAUAAACAAAAAAUAGCUACGUCUUUUCUUUUUGUCAUGAAAAUCCUACUCUUAGAUGAAAUUGUGUGGUUUUAAUUGCUCUUUCGAACUGUGGAGAAAUAUUGUAAGAAGCAGUAUAAUGUGUCUGGUUGUUUUCAAUAAAAGAAAAUCUUAUCUAUUUCAGAACAUGAAA
rnacentral:lncRNA from 1 species